rnacentral:tRNA from 1 species
GGAGAGAUGGCUCAGAGGUAAGAGCACUGACUGCUCUUCCAGGGGUCCUGAGUUCAAUUCCCAGCAUCUACA